rnacentral:rRNA from 1 species
GACGAACGCUGGCGGCGUGCUUAACACAUGCAAGUCGAACGGGUCUGCCCUGUUUUUUGCGGGGUGGGUCAGUGGCGAACGGGUGAGUAACCCGUGAGUAACCUGCCCCUCACUUCUGGAUAACCGCUUGAAAGGGUGGCUAAUACGGGGUGUUCUGGCUGUGCCGCAUGGUGUGGCUGGGAAAGAUUCACUUUUGUGGUGUUUUGGUGGGGGAUGGGCUCGCGGCCUAUCAGCUUGUUGGUGGGGUGAUGGCCUGCCAAGGCUUUGACGGGUAGCCGGCCUGGGAGGGUGGGCGGUCACACUGGGACUGAGAUACGGCCCAGACUCCGGCGGGAGGCAGCAGGGGGGGGUAUUGCACAAUGGGCGGAAGCCUGAUGCAGCGACGUCGCGUGAGGGAUGGAGGCCUUCGGGUUGUGAACCUCUUUCGCCGGUGAAGAAGGUCCUGCUCUUUGGGGUGGGGUUGACGGUAGCCGGGUUAUGAAGCGCCGGCUAACUACGUG